CGCCCUCCUCCCGUCGGCUUCUGGAUUCGGCGACCGGUGAUUGUUGGCUCGAGCCCUGUGGGCUUUGGUUGUGCGCCUCUGCCCCUAGCUGCACCGCAUGGCCGCGCGACUGCCCGCUUCCGCCGCCGCCAACGCGUCCUCAUCCGCUGCCCGGUGACCGGCCAGGUGGCCACCGACCACCGCAGUCCCUGGUCGCCUCGGUGCCCCCGUGUCCUCACUCUGGCUAUAUAGUAGGUGACAGCGGCAGCCGACAGCUCAUGAAUGGUUUCGUGUAAGAUAACGACUCCUUCCAUGAUAUUCCUGCCUGGCAUGAAGGCGGUCUGAGUAGGGCUAACCACUGUUUUGGCAACUUUAUUCAACCUGUUUGUGCCCACUUUAGUGAAUACUUUAAAGCUAACAUUAAGGACACAGAUUGGUCGAUAUUGUUGUAUUUUGGUGGCAUUUUGUAAUUCCGGAAUUAAUGAGAUAAUUCCAAAAUUCAAACUGUAUAAGUCUAGAGCCUCUCUGUGUAGAUCAUGAAAGAGCGCUAGAAGAUCAUCCUUGAUGACGCCCCAAAAAACUUGAUAGAAUUCUGCAGGGAAUCCAUCAGGGCCUGGAGCUUUAUUGUGCUCCAUCUGGAACACAGCUUCCUUCACCUCUGAUUCAGUGAAGGGACUAAUUAGGAUAUCAAUUUCCUCAGGGGAAACUUGCGGGAUAUCAAGGUUUUGAUCUUCGACAUAGUUCCUAGCAAGAAUUUUACUUACCUCACGCAGUAAGAAGGGAGUGGAUGGGGGCAACGGCAGCGUGCACGUCGUUCUUCUUCGUCUCUAAGAUGAGCAAUAUAAGGGAAAACUCUUAAUUUUUAUCCCGUUGAGAUUUGGGACUUAAGCAGAAAGGAAAAUUUGCAGAUCUAGUUAUUGGUAUGUCAAUAUUUUUGAGUACUGGAAUGGAUUGAAUAUUAUUUGGUUCCUCUUGCCUUUGAUAUUACUUCAGUAGUAAUCAGUAAGAGUACCACUUUUAUAAAGUGAGAGAAGAUUUUGUUUAGUUAGCUAGAGAAGUUACUCAGAUGGCAUCACUAUUAUCUUAGAGGAUAUAUAAUGGAGUACUAAAGUAUUACUUGAGUCCUGUGAAGUCACAAUCGAUCAAUGAAUAGAGAUUUAAGGACUUAUGUAUUCAUAAAGCAGCAGCCCAGAACUUUCCUGCUAUUUGUGCGCAGUGGUUUGACAAAAACAAGUUUUGGUUUUCUGGUAGCUCUCUAUGCAUCUAUAUCUGUGUUGCAGGAAUAAUUACAUGAGUAGAAUUUUGGCUUUGUCUUCAUCAGUUCAGCCCAACAAGGAGCAGGGCUUGUGUUCAGUUUCAGGCUGUAGUACAAAACCACUAUCUUUUUCAGCAAUAAAGACCUACAUCCACCAUGAUGUAUAAGUGGAAAUUUCAAAGAUCAUUGGUCGAAGCUACCUGAAUGCUUUCAAAGAUCUUUGGUCGAAGUGCUACCUGAAGGCUUGUUGAGAACACCAUCUUGUUGAAAGACUAAAGAUUGAUAAAUAAACAAAGGUAGCUCUUGGAGAUGCUUGGUAGCACAUCCUAUGGACAAGAAGCCAACUGAAUUAUUAGAGAUGAAAUCUUAGUUUGUAUGUUUGUUUAGUUUAGACUCCCUAGAGCUGAAUUCUUAGUUUUAUGUACUUUGUUAGUUUGGUUGUGAAUUGAUUGUCUCCAAACUAUAUGUGACAAUAGUGGAAAUGCCAAGAAAUAAAAGAAUCAAUGUUAAUUUGUA